UACGGAGGAUGCAAGCGUUAUCCGGAAUGAUUGGGCGUAAAGCGUCCGCAGGUGGCUGUGUAAGUCUGCUGUCAAAGAGCGAAGCUCAACUUCGUAAAGGCAGUGGAAACUACACGGCUAGAGUGCGUUCGGGGCAGAGGGAAUUCCUGGUGUAGCGGUGAAAUGCGCAGAUAUCGGGAGGAACACCAGCGGCGAAGGCGGCACUCUGGGCUGGAACUGACGCUGAGGAGCGAAAGCGUGGGUAGCAAACAGG
rnacentral:rRNA from 1 species